GUGACUUCAAGCCAAGCAUUUCCCUCCACACAAGCCUGAGUGUCAGAGUGUCACAGAGACAGAAUGGACCUGAAGAUUGCUGUACUUCUCUUUGCCUUUUUUGUAGGCAUUAUGACAACUGAAGGUUACAUACAGAGCUGCUGUUCAGAGACAGCAUCAAAGAUUUCCCGAAAGCUGCUCCCCAGAGCUAAAAAAUUUGACUGUCAAGUCAGCGAUGGAAUAUGUGACAUUGAUGCUGUGAUAUUGCACAUCAAAAGCAGGAAAUUAUGUGCAAGCCCUGGGGACACAUCGGUGAUGGAGUGGCUCAAGAAAAGAAAAGCAGGGAAAGGAAACUGUGAGAAAAUUAUGAAAAGGCAUCUGAAGCAGGGGUAGUUAAAAAAAAGACCUACACACACCAUCUUUUCUUCAGCAUCAAGAAACUCGCCCACCUGUUCUUUGGAUUCCCACUGACUGGUACCACUCUGCACUGCUGUCUGUCGUAUGGGUUCACACUCUGCAAGGCACUGUUUCCUCUAGGUAAAGAAAAUGUGACAUGAAACAGAUUCAGAAUUUCCAUCUUCCACAAUGUACAUACUGUGCUUAUUUUUCUACGUGUAAUAAUGAAGAUACUGUAUGUUCACUUCAGAGCAGGAAAGGUGUUCCUUCUGAAAUGGGUGAAGAGUGUUAAACACAAAUGGCACAGUGGAGUCUGCAUGAAUAUUGACUCAAUUGUAAGACACCACUGUAGGCUAAUGUGUCAUGAAGGGCAGGAAAAAUGUGCCAAUUCAACAUAUUUGCAACCUUCGAGAAAAUGACAAUGUAUUUUUCUUGCACAUUUAAAAGGCAUUUUUAACUUGAUUUUCCAAAUUUCAUUUUGUAUUAGAAAUGUGUUGUAUUUGGGGUUUUGUUUUCAGGUUACGUUUUCGCAGUGUUGAAAUACACAUGCUGUCAUGUAUAUCUACAGAAAAUGCUUUUUAACAGCAACGUCAGGUACACUAGUGCUGUACUGCCUUUAUGUAGCUGAUGCCGUUAUCUGGACUAUUGCACGAUCAACACCAGCUAUUAUCUAAUAUGAGAAAACAACUACAUAGUAGAACACUGUGUGUUCUACUAUUUUUUUUUUCAAAUCUUUUAGGUGUUUAAUAUUCCAGUUAGGCGGUCUGUUCUGUCAGAGCUGCUUUGACUGCUGUAGAAUCUCUAACCUUGCAGAAUCUGAUAUGAGGACUUUUUUUUGGAAGUGAAAAAUCACACAACCACACAUCACAUCCAGCACAGAGGAGCUGGUGUGUGAGGUUCAGGGUAGCCACCUGCAUUUCGAAACAGGAGUGUUUCCCAAAGUGAGGGAUCACUCUGGCGAAUGCAGAACACCAGACUGCUGCUGGAAGGGGUGCUAGCAGACCAAAGGGUGACAUUCUCCCCUCUCAACCUGAAUUUCUAAAACCAGACCAGUCAUUCAGAUGACACAUUAAACUGAGGGCCCGACUACUUGUUCAUUUAAUAUCCAAUGAAAUUGUCAACUUUAGAGGAAAAAGUAAAAGUUUAAUCCCUGCAGAAACGAGAAGAAAAGAAACACAAUGUUUUGGCUGUGGAGCCUUCUUCAGG